CCUACGGGUGGCAGCAGUGGGGAAUAUUGCUCAAUGGGCGAAAGUCUGAACCAGCCACGUAGCGUGAAGGAUGACUGCCCUCUGCGUUGUAAACUUCUUUUAUAUGGGAAUAAAAUGUUCCACGUGUGGGAUUAUGUAUGUACCGUAUGAAUCCGGAUCGGCUAACUCCGUGCCAGCAGCCGCGGUAAUACGGAGGAUCCGAGCGUUAUCCGGAUUUAGUGGGUUUAAAGGGAGCGUAGGGGGAUUGUUAAGUCAGUUGUGAAAGUUUGCGGCUCAACCGUAAAAUUGCAGUUGAAACUGGCAGUCUUGAGUACAGUAGAGGUGGGCGGAACUCGUGGUGUAGCGGUGAAAUGCUUAGAUAUCACGAAGAACUCCGAUGGCGAAGGCAGCUCACUGGACUGCAACUGACACUGAGGCUCGAAAGUGUGGGUAGCAAACAGGAUUAGAUACCCGGGUAGUC
rnacentral:rRNA from 1 species